CCAGGUUCCUGCCUUACGUACGUGAGUUCCGCCCUCACUGCUUUUGAUGAUGAACUGUUCUACGGAACUGCACCCAGGACACCAACAUGCUGAGUUCUAGUGAGAAAGGGAAUGAGCCCCUCCUUGGGUUCAAGCAUCCUUUCUCUGUGAUCCUAGACCUCAGAUCUAGCAGAGCCUCAAAUUACAAGGAUGUGAAGACUGGCAUGGCCAUCGUGUGAGAAAGCUCACCCGCACCUAAUCCUCUCACUUUAGUCUGUGAUGUGUGCACUCUGGCUGUUGGUGGAAGGCAUAGCUUGCAGCCCUGGAAGGAGAGUAUCCUAAAUGUUUUGUCCAGGGUGGUGCAAAAGUUUAUGCAUGGCCAUUCCAAAAUUUGAGCUGGAUAGCUGCUCCAGUUGGAGUGACAGAUGAGAUAGAACCAGUGGGUCUGUUUUUAGCUACCCGCUAUUAAAUCUCAUCCAUAAUCAAAGAACUCUUAUUGGCCGGGCAGUGGUGGCGCUCACUUUUAAUCCCAGCACUUCGGAAGCAGAGACAGACCUAUUUGUGAGUUCCAGGCCAGCCUGAUUUACAAAGCAAGUUCCAGGACAGGCUCCAAAGCUACAGAUAACCCUUAUUUCGAGUUGAUACAAGGGCCCAUGUUAGAAACCUCAUUGGAUAAAUCAAGCAUUCUGUAAGCCUUCACAGAAGAACCAGAAGAGACAUCAUAGGCAAUGACGUCUACUAUGGAGAAGAUGUCAAUUUUAGUGUGAAGCAUUGUCCUUCCCUUGAUAGAAGAGGCCAAUAUAAUCAAUCUGUCACCAAGAGACUGACUAAAAGCCUCAUGGGAGUUCUAAAAGACAGAAGCUAACUGGUGUCUGUCAGGGAGUCCUCCUGUCCACAUGGCUGUUUACUGCAUCUUUUGAGGUGAAUGCCCUCUGGUAAGCAAUGACUUGAGACACAAAGAUACCACAUCUUGUGCCAAGGCACAUAAGUUCAUCCAAGUACUUCUCACUCAGGCCUCUUUGUCCCCAGAUUCCCUAUCCUGCUCUUUGCAUGUGUUUUUGAUGCACUAUAACUGGAGAUAGAGUCAUCCAGAGGUCCAGGUGAGGAAGGCAGGACCCCUGGGAUGGUGCUAUCAGGAGUAAUGGGAUCUCUAAAAGCAGAUGCCUAGUGGGUGGUCACUAUGGCCAUAAUAUUCUGACUCUCUGAAGUUCCUGAGAAAGUUGCCAUGAAAGAAGCAAGUGUGCUCCCCCACUCCAUGCUCCCCUACUGCAGGCACAAGUUUGCAAUCACUUGUUCCUUCAUGCUCCCCACCAUCUGCCGUUCCUCAGAAAUGACCCUAUGAAAGCCUUGAACCUCUAAGACAUAAGCCAAAAACCUCCUUGCUUUCCUUGUUUUGUUUUUGUUGUUAUUGUUGUUGUUUGUUUGUUUUUCAAGACAGGAUUGUCCUGGAACUCACUCUGUGGACCAGACUGGCCUCAAACCCAGAUAUCUACCUGCCUCUGCCUCUUGAGUGCUGGAAUUAAAGCUCACCCCAAGGCACAAGAUUUUUCCUCCAUCAGUUUAUCAUACAAAGGCGAUGGCAUGAUCUGAGAAACUGACUCUGAUACAGCAGAGGAGGAAGACACUGGGAUCCUGGCCAUGUGUUCACUUAAUUGCCUUGUGUUCUUUGGAUCUACUCCCAGUAACCUUCCAUCAUACUUGAAAGGCAGCUCCAGCUUCAAAGUCAUUUGAUGUCUCAUGACCACAGUGUACCGAAGCCUUUGUAGCCACAUCUUUGCUAAUUUAAAGAAUUAUUUUCUGAGCAAGAUGUGGUGGUACAUGUCUGUAAUCCUAGCACUUGGGAAGCUGAAGCAAGAGGACCAUGAGUAGAAGAGCCAGGUCUUGAGACUGAAAAUACACUAAAACAUUGCAUGACUGGAAGACUCCCCCCACAUCUUCUCUGUCCCAUGAAUAAGAGCUGUUAUGUGACAGGCCACGUGGAAGCUCCACCUCUUCCACUGAGAUGACAACACACAGUUCUUCCCUGGCCCUUUGGAGCUGCCAUAGCAGAUUUUAAAGAUCCAGAGACAGGUGGACCAAUUGAAUCGAAUGGAAGACCCCAAUAUCA
rnacentral:lncRNA from 1 species